UUCAUUCUCCUCAUUUUCAUGACAUGUGUUGCUCUUUGUAUUUUUAUCUUCCACUUCCAUUUUCCAUUUUCCACUUCACUAGCAGCCAUUUAGUUAUUCCUCCUUCUUCUUCUACAAAAAAUGAUUUUAACCUAAGAUUUGAAAUUGGGGUUUUAAAAAUUCAAUGCAACUAAGCAACUAAAUAGCAAAUAGGAUUUUUUGGAGCGCAAGAGGAAUAAACGGGUGAAGGAUGCAAAGAAGCUGCUUUUAUAGUGAUCUGUGUGCGGCUCACAUUGAGAGGUUAUUGCACAACAGGGAUAACGGAGAUCGCUCUACUGAUGUUUGAUAAGAUGCUUUCUGAGGAUCUUGGCUCAUGGAUGUCAAUUAUAUAUGGAUAUUCUGAAAAGGACUUGUAAGGAGGUAACUAGGUUAAUCUACAUUCAUACAGAGGAUUGUCUGAGCCUUGAUAUUGUCACUUUUGUUUAUCCUAGAUGCCUGUAAAGAAUUUGGUGUGUUUUGUUUAGGAAAGGAGUCCAUGAUUCUACUAAUUAGUUUUACUACUGUUGAUAUAUGUGUCAUAGGUGUAGAAAUCUUAUUAAGGAUUAUACUCUUUUAAUGGGAAACUCAAUGUCAUUUAGAAAGCCCAAAAAGUUCUCUCCUUGAGGCUUAUUUUUUCCUCUACUUUACAUGUACGCAUAAUUCAAACAUAUAUAAAAGGAUAAGGUAUUUACUAGGAUAAAUACUAUUGUAAUCAGUGGCGGAUCUACAUGUUAUUUUUGGGUGCUCAAGCACCCAUUAUCUUUAACAAGAUUUAGUAAAUUUGUAUAGGUAUUUAUAAAAAUAUUUAGAUAAAUAUUGAGUUAGUACCUAUAACUAAACUCCUUUAUCCUCUUCUUUCAAAAUUUUUAUCAGUGAACACCCACGACUUUAAAAUCCUGGAUCCGCCACUGACUGUAAUGAGAUGGCAUAAAAAAGAUGUGAUGUGUAUUAAACUAUCACAUUUAACUUUUUGUAUCAUUCUACACAAUAUAGAUAACAGUCUAGGUGCACUGCUCAAGCUUGCGAACCUUUUCAAUUAUGUGUUAAAUAUGAAAUGAGAUUUUAAUCUAUAUCAUUGACCUCUUAGAUGAUAAUCUUAUGAUAUUCUUAUUUAUCUUUUAAAAAAAGAUUAGUAUGUCUCCUGAUUGCUGGUAAUUUAAAUGCAUAGUUUAAAAUUUAUAAUGGAUCCACAUGCAAUUAAAUAGUUGACUGAAGUAUCAUCAGGUGUUCAAUAGAUUACAGAUGAAGCAGACACAUACUCCAGAAAUUGAGCAACCUACAUCUAUAAAUGAUAAGUGUGUGUAUGUAUAGGUAGCGAUAUAUCUCUUGCUAUAUGUUGAGCAUUGUCUGAACUCACUUCACAUUCACAAUUGCACGAAAAUAGCAAUGUGUUACUUUAUUGAAGUAUCUUACCAGAUUUCUUUCUUUUUGUAUUUCAGAAUAUGCAUAUCAUAAUAUUAAUCAGAUACUAUUCUAAGAUAUACAAUAACUAAGAUUAAUGACUAGAUAAUUUCCUUUUGAAGUGCUACAGAGAUCAACAACUCCAAGUCUGUUUUGAACUUGGGGAAUGCAUUUUUAUGAAUGUAAAACCAACUUCUUGACAUCCUCUUAAAAUAUGUACUAUUUCUUAAAGUAACAUAGUUCUCACAGUUUUAAAUCUUUAAAAAAAUUCAUCUCUACAGCAAAAGUUUACUUGCAAUGUGAACUGCAACAGUUUUACCAGCAAUGUGGCAUAUGUUGUGUUUGAAAAUUGAUGCACGUGUCAAGGGUGUGAAUGACCGGCACACUCGAAUCUAUUAAUAAAUUUAAAUUCUUAAAAAAAAAUGGCUUGGUAUUUUGUUUACCCAAACUAACAGUUUUGUGUUAUCAUGUAGAAUAACGAUACUUACAUCUAAGCUGCUCCUGCUGGAAUCUAUAGUCCCUGUUACUGUGAACCUUCCCAAAAAAUUUUUAAUAUAAAUUUUUUAAAAAGUGUGGGAAUGUAAUUAGUACAAAGCUGCUUAAUUUUGAGGGACAUGAUGCUCUUGUGUAUUUGAUAUGCCUUUAUCAGAAAGAGAACUUGCAGGACUCAUUUGACGAUAUGUUUAUCUUAUUUGUCAUUGCCUAGGAGAAAACAGAACGAUCUUAUUGUACUAUUUAUAGGAAAAUCACAACUGGGUGGCUGUAAUCUUAGAAGUUGUUGUUCUUGAUAAUUUUGAGAAGAUAUAGGAAAUAUAUAUUGAACUGUCUUAAA